AACAGAAGGGAGACCGUAUCAAAACAAGAACAACAACUCAGCACCGAAUGUGUGGAGCAAAAACUCAAAUGAUAAUGUAGAGUUGGGAUUUUCUGCAGUUGCAACGUACGCUCUACAUCAACAGUGAGCUGUCAGGAAUCCCACUCAAUAUGGCUCCCAAGAAGUGGACCAGAGGCUUUGUGCAGAUGCUCAAGGGAAAACAAGGUCGGUUCAGAGGAAAUCUGUCUGGAAAAAGAGUUGAUUUCUCUGGCAGAACAGUUCUCUCCAGACCCAAAUCUGCGAAUCGAUGAAGUAGCUGUGCCCAUCCAUGUGUCCAAGAUACUGACCUACCCUGAAAAGAUCUCUGAAGUAUGGCAACCAUGAGAAGAUGGCCCAGGAACUGAAGUUUGGGGACACUUUGGAGAGGCAUAUGAUAGAUGGGGAGGUUGUGCUAGUCAACAGACACCCGUCUCUGCACAAGCUCAGCAUUAUGGCUCACAUAGUAUGUUUCCAGAAAGCAUUUUUCAUCUACUCAUGCUGUUCACUUUCAAUAAUGCAACCAAGGCUGGGAUAAUUAAUGCUACAUUUUUUGUUUCUCUAAAAACCUGUACUUAUUUUUCUUGUCAAUCAUAUUCAUCUCCUUUAGGUUUUUGUUGUUUGGCUGUUAUUUUUUCAAAAAUCCACAAUCUACUGUUGAUGUUAAAGCCUUGCUUUUUUGUAGGCCAAAGUAAAAACACACAGAACGUUCAGAUUUAAUAAAUGUAUCUGCACACUGUAUAUUGCUGAUUUUGAUGGUGAUGAAAUUAACCUUCAUCUGCCUCAGACAGAGGAGGCCAAAGCUGAGGAUCUUGUUCUCAUGGGGGUAAAUAUGAAUGGAGCAUGUCUGUCAAGAUACAGUGUGUGAUUUACUUUUGGCUAGUUUAGUCUCCCAGUAAUGAAACAUUGAAAAAAUAUUUAUUUGCAGUGUUAUAAAAUUAAUAAAUACAUUCUGUUGCAGAUGAAAGCCAACCUGGUAACUCCAAGAAAUGGAGAACCACUAAUUGCUGCUAUCCAGGACUUUCUGACAGGUUUGUCAGAUAAUUGCGUCCAUUCUUGUAAUGAAAGACGAAAAGAUAAAGAUUCACCUUCCGCCUCCUGCAAUCUUAAAGCCCAUAACCCUUUGGACUGGUAAACAGAUCUUCAGCCUGAUUCUAAAACCCAGUAAGACAUGUCCUGUGAAAGCCAACCUUCGGACCAAAGGCAAGCAGUAUUGUGGCAGUGGAGAGGACCUCUGUCGGAAUGACUCUUAACAGCUAGCUGGUGUGUGGCAGCAUGGACAAUGGAACCCUGGGUUCUGGGUCCAAGAAUAACAUCUUCUACAUCCUGCUGAGAGACUGGGGCCAAACGGAGGCUGCAAAUGCCAUGUCCCGCCUGGCCAGACUAGCUCCAGUUUAUCUCUGUAUGUCAGUACUUUACAGUUUUAAUGAACAUUUACAUCUCCUUUUUGUAGGACAAAUUCUCAAUGAUUUAUUCCCAGUAUAAGUUUAAACAAAUAUUUUGAAGAAUUACCUUGUUUGGCAGAAUAUGGUAAAUAUAUACAUACUUAAAUACAUUAUUCUAAAGUUAAUUUACUUGUUUCUUUAGAUUUUGUGACCAUAACAAUCGAAACGUAUGAAUAAAGUCAGAUUUCAGUUAG